AAAGGGUAAAUGAGGUGACUAAACAAAUACUCACGCAGUAGAGAGAGAGAGAGAGAGAGGGGCAUCGGCAGUUCUCCCUCGAUCGACUCUUGAAAUCGAGUUUCUCUCCGUUGCAGGACCCAUUUUAUGCCGUCUUAGUUACGUGGAGAAGCUCCGAUGGCGGGAAAAUCGGUGGCAAUACCUCGGAAAUUGUCUGUGUACCUUUACAUUCCGAAUAUAAUUGGUUAUAUAAGAGUGCUUAUGAACUGUGUGGCAUUUGCGAUAUGCUUCUCCAACAAAAGGCUAUUCUCCGCCCUCUACUUCAUAAGCUUUGUAUGUGAUGGCGUGGAUGGUUGGUGCGCUCGCAAGUUCAACCAAGUCUCGACUUUUGGAGCUGUUUUGGACAUGGUAACAGACAGAAUUAGCACUGCUUGUCUGCUGGUAAUUCUUUCCCAAGUGUACAGGCCUGGUUUGAUUUUCCUGUUAUUGCUUGCACUAGAUAUUGCUAGCCAUUGGCUGCAAAUGUACAGUACUUUCUUGACAGGAAAAGUUAGUCACAAGGAUGUGAAAGACAGCACUAACUGGCUUUUCAGAGCUUACUAUGGAAAUCGAAUGUUUAUGGCAUUUUGUUGUGUGGCAUGUGAGGUGCUUUACAUCAUGUUAUUCCUUUGUGCAGAGAAGCAGACUGACGAUUUGAUAGAUGUACUUAUGACCUCAGCCAGACAAAGUCCAAUUCUCUUGGUUUUACUGGCUCUAAGCUUAUUUGGAUGGACAAUAAAACAAACUGUCAAUGUUAUACAGUGCCUGCAUCACAAUCCAAUAGCACAUUACCUGUCAAUUUUCAUCACCUGACUCUGCAGCUUAGCGUACUUUCUCUUUAGUAGUAAUAAUCCAAUUCUACUGACAAUGAAGACAGCAGCAGACGUUUGUGUGCUUUAUGACAUCAACAAAAAGCAGGGUUCUUAGUUCUUUGAGCAGCUUUUUAAAGCUUACGCCUGAUCCGUGCUCAAUUUUGCCCAUCAGAGAGCAGACUUGUAACAACUGUUUGUCUUGUAUGCUUUUGCUUGGCCAAAAAACUUAUAUGCUUCAAAAAGCUUUGGAAACAGAUUACUCAGUUUCGCAUAACACAUGCCUUUCUUGUGUUAUCAAUACCCCGCUAAUUGCUUAAUUAGCAACUUGAUAAUGUCCGUUGUUGUGAAUACUUAGCUUUGUUUUGGUACAGAUUCCUUUCUUUUGGGAA